UGAAUACGAGACGCUAAGGCGUCGAAGUAGUGUAUGUCAUACUUCCAAGAAAAGCUUGCACUGUCAUAGAUAAAAAACGCCUGUACCAUAACCGACACAGGUGGGUAGGUAGAGUAUACUAAGGGGCGCGAGAUAACUCUCUCUAAGGAACUCGGCAAAAUAACUCCGUAACUUCGGGAGAAGGAGUGCCUUAUUCGUAAGGUUGCAAUAACAAGAUCCAAGCAACUGUUUAUCAAAAACACAGGUCUCCGCUAAGCCGUAAGACGAUGUAUGGGGGGCUGACGCCUGCCCAGUGCCAGAAGGUUAAAGAAGUUGGUUAGCAAUUGCGAAGCUGAUAACUGAAGCCCUGGUGAACGGCGGCCGUAACGAUAACGGUCCUAAGGUAGCGAAAUUCCUUGUCGGGUAAGUUCCGACCCGCACGAAAGGCGUAAUGAUUUGGAUACUGUCUCGGAGAGGGGCUCGGUGAAAUAGACUUGUCUGUGAAGAUGCGGACUACCUGCACCAGGACAGAAAGACCCUAUGAAGCUUUACUGUAACUUGAAAUUGAAAUUGGACUUUAUUCGCGCAGUAUAGGUGGGAGGCGUUGAUUAUAAUCUUGUGGGAUUAUUGGAGCCAUCAGUGAGAUACCACUCUUGUAAUGUUAGAUUUCUAACUUUGAAUCAUUAUCUGGUCAAAGAACAGUUUCAGGCGGGCAGUUUGACUGGGGCGGUCGCCUCCUAAACGGUAACGGAGGCGUACAAAGGUUUCCUCUGAACGGUUAGAAAUCGUAUCUAGAGUGUAAAGGCAUAAGGAAGCUUGACUGUGAGACCUACAAGUCGAGCAGCGACGAAAGUCGGUCUUAGUGAUCCGACGGUACUGAGUGGAAAGGCCGUCACUCAACGGAUAAAAGUUACUCUAGGAUAACAGGCUGAUCUCCCCCAAGAGUUCACAUCGACGGGGAGGUUUGGCACCUCGAUGUCGGCUCAUCGCAUCCUGGGGCGGUAGUACGUCCCAAGGGUUGGGCUGUUCGCCCAUGAAAGCGGUACGCGAGCUGGGUUCAGAACGUCGUGAGACAGUUCGGUCCAUAUCCGGUGUAGGCGUUAGAAUAUUGAGAGGAGCCUUCUUUAGUACGAGAGGACCGAGAAGGACAUACCUCUGGUGUACCAGUUAUCGUGCCAACGGUAAACGCUGGGUAGCUAUGUAUGGAGUGGAUAACCGCUGAAAGCAUCUAAGUGGGAAGCCCACCUCAAGAUAAGUAUUCUCA
rnacentral:rRNA from 1 species